rnacentral:rRNA from 1 species
GAAUGAACCGGCGAGUUACGAUUUGAUGCAAGGUUAAGCAGUAAAUGUGGAGCCGUAGCGAAAGCGAGUCUGAAUAGGGCGUUUAGUAUUUGGUCGUAGACCCGAAACCAGGUGAUCUACCCUUGGUCAGGUUGAAGUUCAGGUAACACUGAAUGGAGGACCGAACCGACUUACGUUGAAAAGUGAGCGGAUGAACUGAGGGUAGCGGAGAAAUUCCAAUCGAACCUGGAGAUAGCUGGUUCUCUCCGAAAUAGCUUUAGGGCUAGCCUCAAGUGAUGAUUAUUGGAGGUAGAGCACUGUUUGGACGAGGGGCCCCUCUCGGGUUACCGAAUUCAGACAAACUCCGAAUGCCAAUUAAUUUAACUUGGGAGUCAGAACAUGGGUGAUAAGGUCCGUGUUCGAAAGGGAAACAGCCCAGACCACCAGCUAAGGUCCCAAAAUAUAUGUUAAGUGGAAAAGGAUGUGGCGUUGCCCAGACAACUAGGAUGUUGGCUUAGAAGCAGCCAUCAUUUAAAGAGUGCGUAAUAGCUCACUAGUCGAGUGACACUGCGCCGAAAAUGUACCGGGGCUAAACAUAUUACCGAAGCUGUGGAUUGUCCUUUGGACAAUGGUAGGAGAGCGUUCU